GCAUGCUCCCUUUGGCCUCAUAUGUAUAUCAAAAUUAGAAUGACAUAAAGAUUAGCAUGGUCCCUGUGCACAUGAUAUGCAAAUUCAUGAAGUAUUCCAUAUUUUU